AGUCAAUAAAACAUGGUCCAUUCCUUUUUUUUUCCUUUUUUUUAUAAAAUCCAUAAAGGGGAGCUAAUUAGAUAUAUCAAGAAGAGCUACAUCAAGAAUACGAGAGGGAAUUACAUCAAACCACUUUCAUUGACCCACUUCCCUAUGAUGAAACCGGGUCAAUUCAUGAGCAACCCUAUUCCCACCUCGUUUCACAAAAGACCAAUAAACAAUAACAAAGUUAGUGCAAAAUAACAAAACAUCCCCUAAAAUUAAAGAAAAUUCACUAUAGCCAAUCUCUUCGCUCUUCAAAGCUUGGAAGACCUGCAAACAAUCACCCUCAACUAAAUUUUGGGCACCCAUAUUCGCAGCCAGUUGCAGCCCCCAUCACACGGCUUUUGCUUCAGCCACCUUCACGUCCCACUUCUCACUGCCCUGCUAGACCCCUGUAGCCAUAACUUCACCAAAACCAUCCCUGAUCACUACCCCAAACCACACCCAAAGUCACCUAUAAAGGCAGCAUCAACAUUAACCUUUAAGAGUCCUGCAUAUGUUGUUGUCCAAUCGACAGCAACCUUCCCUAAACUAACAGCAGCAGCACAGCAAAAACCAGGCUUGGAAUUUCCAGUCUUUAUAGCAUAGCUCAUCACUUCCUCAUAAUCCCUACACUCCCCUCCAUAAUCUGAGAGUUCCUAGCACCAUAAAUAGCCCAGCAAAUGGCUAUAAAGUUUGCUACAUCACACUCAUCCAUAUUCAAAAAACAGGAUUCCUUAAUCCGCCUUCCCUUCUCACCUAAUACAAUCAAUCAAAAUAACAAAAUCAGAAACAAAGAAUUGAAAAAAUCAAAUCCAAAACACAAAAGGGGUAAAUUACGAAGAAGAUUCUGGAUACAAGUAGCCCUAAUGAUGAUCUACGUGCACAUAGUAGAAAUGAUAUUGGUGAAAUGAUCGUAGAUGCUACCAAGGAAAAUCAACCCAAAGAUCUAAAUGAUAUGGACUUACAAACAUUAGAUGACGAAGAUUUGCUAGAGGAUGAUGAUGAGGAUGACAGUGAGAGUGACCAAGAGAGCGACGAUGAUGAUAUUGAUAUUGCUUAAUUUUUUUUCCUUUUGUUUUUUUAGCAUGAAUUAUAUGUGUUGAUACAUAUAUUCAUGGAUUCCUGAGAAACCUUUGUAGUUAUAAUUACUUAUUUUUUCACACUUUGCAUUCGUGUUUUUAUUGGCUUAUUUGAAUAGAUAUAUGCCAGGAUGUUUUUGUUUUAUGCACAGUUAUUGGUAAAUGGCUUGUAGUAUUUGAUAGUAAUUGUACACCAUGUGUAUAGUAGCUGGCAGCAGCUUUGCAUUAGGGAUGCAGUGGAUGGUAGUAGAUUAGAUUAGGCAGUCAAUGUGCAUUACAAUUCUAUUGUAAAAUUUUCUAACCCUAUUUUUUUUUUACUUUGUAAAUGCAGAUGAAUGAGUAUGAAAAAAAGAGGCUUCUUAUAAUAGCAGCCAACAAAAACAGACUUAAGUCGUUGGGCAUAAAAAGAAUCGCAUCUUCUUUGACAAGCUUGGUUGAAGGGACAAAAAAUAAAGAAAAAAAAGGAAAAAAAAAAUUGUUGGCCUGGAAGAUGAUGAAUAUGUUCCCACUAAUGAUGAGCUUGAGGUUCGGGAACGUGAAAUAGAACCUCAAAUCAGGUUUACAAGAAAGGCUAACAUAAGACAUUUGAGAGAAGGAAACAAAAAAGGCAAUUUCAUUCCACCAAACUCAGUGGAAAAGUUUCUAAAGACGAACAAGAAAGCACAAAAUACAAUGGCCAUGGAUAUCUUAGAAAAAGAAAACGAUGAAGAAAUUGGAGAAACAAGGGAGAAUAAUAACACCGCUGAGGGGGGCUAUGAUGAGGAAGGACGACAGAUUGGUCAACCACUUGAACUUGAAGAUGCAUCUUUGGAUACUGAACCAUUGAACGA